GUAACGGCGAGUGAAGCGGCAACAGCUCAAAUUUGAAAUCUGGCCGCAAGGUCCGAGUUGUAAUUUGCAGAGGAUGCUUUUGGCGAGGUGCCUUCCGAGUUCCCUGGAACGGGACGCCAUAGAGGGUGAGAGCCCCGUACGGUAGGACCACCGAGCCUUUGUAAAGCUCCUUCGACGAGUCGAGUAGUUUGGGAAUGCUGCUCUAAAUGGGAGGUGUACGUCUUCUAAAGCUAAAUACCGGCCAGAGACCGAUAGCGCACAAGUAGAGUGAUCGAAAGAUGAAAAGCACUUUGAAAAGAGGGUUAAAAAGUACGUGAAAUUGUUGAAAGGGAAGCAUUCAUGACCAGACUUGGGCUUGGUUGAACAUCCGGCGUUCUCGCCGGUGCACUCUGCCAGUCCAGGCCAGCAUCAGUUUGCCCCGGGGGACAAAGGCGGUGGGAAUGUGGCUCUCUCCGGGGAGUGUUAUAGCCCGCCGUGUAAUGCCCUGGGGCGGACUGAGGAACGCGCUUCGGCUCGGAUGCUGGCGUAAUGGUCAUCAAUGACCCGUCUUGAAACACGGACCAAGGAGUCGUCUUCGUAUGCGAGUGUUCGGGUGUCAAACCCCUACGCGAAAUGAAAGUGAACGUAGGUGAGAGCUUCGGCGCAUCACCGAC
rnacentral:rRNA from 1 species